rnacentral:rRNA from 1 species
UACGAAGGGGGCGAGCGUUGUUCGGAAUUACUGGGCGUAAAGGGCGCGUAGGCGGCUCUUGAAGUCAGGUGUGAAAGCCCCGGGCUCAACCUGGGAACUGCACUUGAUACUCUGGGGCUGGAGUGCGGGAGAGGAGAGUGGAAUUCCCAGUGUAGAGGUGAAAUUCGUAGAUAUUGGGAAGAACACCGGUGGCGAAGGCGGCUCUCUGGACCGUAACUGACGCUGAGGCGCGAAAGCGUGGGGAG